ACAUAUCAGCCUAGUUUCUACAGAACAUAAACCUUCCUUUACAAAUAGGUAUGUUGCAAACUCUUCUCAGUUACACUAAAUGGUGUAAGUGUAGGAAAACAUCCACAAACUGAAGCUUAGGAGGUUUAAGUUGGAUUUUAGAAGACAUAUUUUCAUCAGAAACCUACUGCAUUAGAACAGCUUGCCACAGAAAAGUUGGUUUCUGACAUCCAGAGCAGCCAGGGAAUGCUGACUCCACUCUCCGUGAUGUCCCAACAUACACUAUUCUGGCAUACUCAUCAUGGAACCCCAAAGCAGACUGGAGCCAGGAUACUGAUAUAUGGGGUAAGGACUGAACUUUAUAGGGGAGGGUUUUUUUGUUGUUCUUUUUUUUAAAUAAACACACACACACACAACCACAAUAUUAUGCAGUUUUAUAAGAUUUUCUUUAGUCUUUACUUUAUAUCCUGGGGAUAUAAAAUUAAGAAAAUUAGAAAUCUUAUAAAACCAUGCAAUAUUGUUGAAAAGGGGUGGUGGUGGAGGGAGAAAACUUACCUUACCCUUAAUAGGCCUGCUCCAUUCUGCAGCGGGGUUCUGUGGUAUAUGUGACAUCACCAGUCUAGCGUUUUCUAGUGAUGUCACAUGGAGAGGGAGUUGAUCUGCAGCUGCUUUGGACGUCAGAUACCUAAAGAAAAGAGAUUAAUAACUUUCUUCAAUUCAAAGAUUGGUUGAUACUGAAUACUCCUCUUAAUCGAUUUAUGGGCCAAAUUCUACUAUUUCAGAACUUCAGUGGGAACUUUGAUGGAAUAAAGGAAUAAAUGAGAUCACUCACGCUAUGCAAGUACAUUUGUAAUAGAAUAAGUUUUCAUUCUGAAAAAGCUUAAGAGUUACUUUUUAAACUUCUUUCAAGUCCAGUAUUUACCCUUGGCAUGUCCUUCUGAGCAUUUUAUCUACCAACAGCUAGCCUCUGGCAUUAUUAGAAUACUGGGAUAAAACAGUCAGGAAGAAUGGCUGGCAGUAAAGGAUAAAACAAAAUCACUCAUGACACCCCUUUAUCAAUUAUAUCUUUGAGCAUUUACCUAUAACUAAUGAAAAGACUGGUGAACAUCUUAUGUCAGCACUCAAACUUUUUGUUGUUGUUUUCUAAGACUUCAGCUUGCACUUCCAUUACAGGAACCCAAUCAAACUGAAGUAUAUCCUGAAAUGGUAUUCCAGACUCUCUUAUCAAAUAUUACAAAUAAAUGAGGUGAAAAUAAACAUACAAUACCCUAAGAAAAAUAAUAAUUCUUGCUAAUUGACAUGUCCUCAUCUCAUGAUUUAUUUCAUUACUAUGUCCCUGUUUAUUUGCAGAGGAGUUGGAAUAGAUGGUCUUUAAGGGUCCUUUCCAACUCAAACAAUUCUACGAAAUGACUCCUUAGACAGACAUUUAGUCAUUUGGGCAAAGUUACUACUAGAUUAUCAUUGCAUUGAUCACCUCCCAGAUUUGAAGUUCACUACCAGCAUGAGUUCACUGCUUUUUCCAAACUCAGAACACUGAAAUUAAGCACCACUGAACUAUCACAUUUCACUCUUAAUUAUAAGAGCUUAUAUAUAUUAACUUAUACUUUCAUAAUGCAUCAAGAAACUGUAUGCAUGCAACAUCUUAACCUGUUUACAAAAAAGCUACUUUUUCUUUUAAGCUAUUAAUUAUUUAUCAUUAAUUUCAUCUUUCUUAACUGCAGAUAUACAAACAUUCCACUAUUCUUCAACAGACCAUCUUAAAGUCAGCUGUUUUGUUACAACUACCUGUGUGUGCUGACAGGAAUGUCUUACCUGAUUUUUCAAAAUAAUAUUAUGGUUGAUCAAAAUCCAAAGCACUACAAAAUAUUCUGAAUACAACGCAGCAUCUCUAUGAUGAAAAUGUUCCACACUAAAUGUAUGACUACCUAUUCAUAUGUUUGAUGCAGAAUUCAUAUCUAUGCAUCUGGAAUAGUAAAAUACAUGUGAUAGAAGUGGCAUAGGUGAAGCAUCUUAGCAAACAUUCAUUGGAGGACUAGUCUAUAUACCAGGAAAGGCAUAAAAAAUUAUGCGAAGUUGAGAGAAAACAGUUGUGAAAAAAAUACACCUAGUAUAGGCAGCACUGAAGAGGUACUGAAGAAUAGAACAAAAAUGUGGAAAGCUAGUGAGAUAUGUAGAAGAUAGAAAUAGCAGAGAAUUCUGUGGAAAACUUUAAAAAUCCGAAGCCUAAAAUUGGUUAUAUUCCUUCAAAGUGUGCAACUAAUUAGCCAGCUGGAUUUUCGAAAACUCUGCAUCUCAAUUUCUCAGAAAUAUGCAAAACUGCAUGAAUGUAAGAGUGAAUUGAAAGACCUUAUUUCAGACUCCAAAUUCAACAUUUUGGACUCCUAUGAGUGCCUUUAAAGAGUCAGGCAAACCAGAAAGAAGUAAUAAACUAUUAUGGAAGUGAUUAAAAUACAACUCAAGUUUUUAGGAGAAAGGAUGGAAAAUGAGAAUACAUUAGAUCCAUUGUAAUAGAAGCUGCACAGCAAUACAGAACAUAGGCUGAAAUUAAAAUAGUAUGUUUCAGGUGCAAGGCUACAAGCAGGUCUAUUAAAACGCUGUUAUUUCCAUAGAGACUUACAACAAAGAUCUCUUAAUCUAAAGUUUAAACUAAUAGCAAACAUAGAUUUCUCAUAUUAUAUUAUUUGUUUGCAUGUACAUUACAUUAAUACAGUAAUAUAAUGCAAACAAGUAUAACAGGAAGCUCCUUACAUGCAAAUUUUUCAAGUAUAGAAAUAGGUUGCUCCAAAAAUAAUGCCUCCUACUUAUUUCCAUGGAAACCACAACAGAGUACAAUAAAAUUAUUUGAUAGAGAAAAUUCUCAGCUACAAAAUACUGUAUUUCAACAUAGUCACCACCAGUGGCUAUACAUCUUCAGCAGUGAUGAAGAAGAGCCUGCAAGGCAUGCUCAUAAAGAUCUGCACCAAUGGAAGUGACCUAGCAUUGCUGAAAUGCACCAUCCACUGCCUCACUGCGCUCACAUCCACUGUUUGAUCACCAUAAACAUUCAGCAAGUGUCUAUGAAUGUCAAUAAGUGCAAUUUUUUCUGCAUGGAGGAAUUCAAUUCCACACCUUUGCUCCAUAAGCGUAUCCAUGUCAGACGACAUUUUGUCAGAGUGCCCCUCUGCUGCCAUCCCUCACAUGGCAACAAAAUGUAACAGAAUAUUGGAGGGAAGGUGCAAGCUCUACUGCCGUACCACCAACAUCCGCCUCUGAUAUUGUGGGACAACAUAAUAAAAUAGGAGGAGUCAUUACUUUUGGAGCAGCCCUCGUAUUUCACUGAGAGUAUGAGAAGGAAUGAGAAGGGAGAAGAAUAUGGAAAAGGAAGCCUAACUCAAGCUAAAAAAAUGAAAAAAAUUUAACCCAGUAGAAUCCCUGCACAGUCUUGUAAUAGCACAGUGCCCCUACCACCAACGGAUGGUAAUAUUUCCAGUUUCUUUACUAUACACAGAGAGAAUGUUUUAAAAACUCAUUUAGUAAAUCAACCGAUUUGCAUUAUUUUUGCACUAUAACAACACCGUAUUUUUUAAAGUAAUGUGAUGCAAAUCAGUGAAAAAGAAAAUACACUCUUCUUUUACUUUGGAUACUUGUGUUGCCUAUGAAGAAAUUUAACAACAGCCUGUUUCAAAUGUAAAAAACAAACAAACAAACAAAAAACAGCAGACACAGAAGAUACUGUUCUACCCUGGCCCAAUGUAUUCCUUUGGGAUUCCUCUGUGAUCUGACAAACUAUUUCAUGUCUGAAGUUCUAAAAACUUCUGAUAUGAAUGAGUGGGUUUUUACAUCUUCAGGGGCACUCCCAAAUACAGACUUCCAUGGCUGGUAUGGAUUUAAGGGCUGCAGAGUGCCUCAGAGUGCAUCCGGCACUUCCAAGACUCAUCUGCUUAAAAGAUAUUCAGUGUUUGAAAAGACAGAUAAAGAUGUUCAUCUGCGAUGGGAAGUACAGCUGCCCAAUUGAAACCUUUAUGAACAACAUUAGAAAAAACGAAAAACCCAAAACCUUUAUAAAGGAGGUUUUUAUCUUGUUUUACUAUGAAGCCAAGAACACUAGCAUGUUACACACAUCUGUAAAACAAUACAAUUUUCAGCCUUUUUGCUACAAACUCUAGUUAGUCAUGAACUUGACUCUUUAUCCUUCCCCUCACCUUUGUCUGAUGUUUCCUGCAGGGACAGUCCGGUGCCUUCUACUCUGGAAAACCCUUCCUUUUAUCAUUUUAACUUUAUGUACUUAACCAUGGGAAUCCUGGGUUCCAGCCUCUCUUCUCCCUCAAAAGACAUCUAUGCACUUACCAUCAGGCUUGCAAGCAAUGAUUCAAAUCCAAUGGUGCUACUAAAAUAAAGUUACGCAUUUCAGGAAACACAGAAUCUUGCUCCUGGUACAAUGUAUGUGCCAGAACACAUCCUUCAUGACAAGCAGCAAAGCACCAAAGCUGUAAGACACUGUAUCUUACACACUCUCACAAAACAAUCCUCCACCCUUUUACUAGAUAAUGCACAGAGCUUAUGCUUCCUCCAUGUGAUUCAAGUCAAGUAAGUCCUCUUUCUGCAUCUUUAGAUUACUUUUUUCCAUUAAGGAAGUCAAAUAUAUAAUAAAUCAGAGUAACUUACUUUCUUCUCUCUAUCCUGAAAUUUAUUAGGUGGUGAGGAGAGGAACUAUUUAGUAGCUGAACGGAUUGAGAAUUUUACAACACCCCUGGCUCAGACUGUACUAUCAGUAACUACUAUAGCUGUCACAGAAAAGCACUUCUGACAAAAGCAGUUUGACUUCUUUUUGCCCCCAGAUGCUCAAUUCUGUCCUCAGAAUGAUCCCUUGAGCCGUGGCAGGACACAAGUGGUUAUUUGUGCGACUCCAGGAUAAGCUGCUCUAAGAUAUUGAUCUGCUUUAAAACUAACCCAGCAGCAAAGAGAAGUUACGUUUAUAAUAGACUCUCAUGCAGCUGAACAAAGAAUUUUGCUACACUCUCUUACAGGGUGAUAGAGAAAACAGAAGCUGCCAGAGACAUGGUGAAUAGGAACUGUUUUUUUGGCAGCAGUUUUUGCUUAUGUCAGUUGAAGGCAUAUGUGAAAUUGCAGCCUCAUGUCAGAGCUGUGGCUAGAGUUCAAGAGUGAGGUAGUCUGGAAAGAUCUAAAACUAAGACUGAACUUCAGCUUAACAUUAAAGAGUUGAAGUCAAAUUCUUCUCUACACUGUUACUUCAAGCUUGUAGUAAUGCACAUCUCAUAGCUGUUAGAACAAACUGAUCAGUAAUCAAAUAGAAAUGUAAAUUUUUUAAAAUGAAUAAGUUAGACCACAGUUAAUUCAAAAAGCAUUGCAGAUGUAGAAACGAGUACAGAAUUAAACUAUUUUAAUCAGCCAAACAGUGGAAAUCCUUUCAAACAGGUUUAUUAUUUCACUGCUGUGGGAGGAAUUGGUAGUAAUGCUUACAUCUAAAACUAUCCAUAUCCUUCCAUUACAUAACCUUGAUCUAAUCUGCUUUAAUUCUGCCAAACAAAACUUGUUUGAGCUAAAAAUCUCAUGUCAUUUGUUGGCUCAAGCUGAUUUCUGAGAAGCGUCAGAUACAACCAGUCCAACUAUGUACAAAAAAUGCCAGCAAACAGCAUGUUUACUCAUGUUAAAGAAGUCUUACAGCUCAGCUCUUUUCGUUACAGCCUCCAGACUGCCAAGUUCUGGAGUAGGAAUUUCUUUUAUGUCAUCGAAACAAAUACCAUGAAGUAGUAAUGCAGUAAGACCACCACCAUUUUCAUCAUCUUCAGGUCCAAACAAGAAAGAAGGUCAUGAACAGCCUCAAAAUUAUCAUAAUAUAUCAUAUUAAAAUAUGCUUUCACAUUAAGUCAAAUUUGUAUUAUGAGAGAGCAAUGUUUUACUAAAAACAUUAGAAGCUUCAGAAAACCUGCAAGAAACUCUGUUAUGGAUGCCACUGUCACAUCAAAGAUGAAUAAUGAAAAUCUGCACCUCCUCCAGAUUUGAAGUUAUGUAACUUAAUUAUGCAUGGUGUUAUUGACAUCAAAAAUACAACUUUAAUAACUUCCCUCACAAAGUGUCUAGCCAAGUUUGCUGACUAUUCAUCUAACUUAAGAUCUCUUUCUUUGUAUUUUUUUUAAAGUAUGCAAUCCGAAUGAUUUUUAAAAUAAACAUUUCACUGUUUCUUUUUAAUCAAUUCUUCAGCAAUUAAUCCUACUCUUAUUUCUUCACAUAACAUUUCGAACACCAUAAAUGUUUAAAGACUCAAAAGAUAGAGUUGUGUGAGCACACAGAAAAAUUGUCCUUACCUCACGAUUUCUGACCACUGAAUGAGUUGUAUCUUAACCCCUGUAUUUAAGAGCUUGUUGGUUUUCUCAGAUGGUGUGAUUAGAACUAAACAUAGUAUUCCUGCUGAAGUCAUGCAACUUAUUUACAUAAUGACACUAUCAGAUUUCAGUUCAAAGAGCGAUUAUGACAUAUUUAGCGUUUGUAUACCCUUGAAGAAGUCUUGUUGGUAUAAUUUUACUAGUAGGAAAAGUCUAAUCUAUAAUAGGAUUAUUAGUAUGCUAAUGUGUACUCUCAUUUUUGUCUUUUUCUUCUAUUGUUGACAUAGUCUUUCUGAUAACCACCAGACAAUCCUACAUUAAAACCAAUUAGCAAUUUAGCAACUAUAACUUCAAUUACCAUCUAUCUUUAUUCCUUUAGAUACUGUAACAGCUAUUUUGCUAAGGAA